UAGAGGGAGAAGGGAUUCGGGAAUGGCAUGACAGUCGUAAGCGAGGGCACCAGAUAACAUCUUUACUGGGUAACACACGGUGUUUCAUCUCUCUCUCUCUCUCUCUCUCUCUCUCUCCCCGGUCGCGCGCUCUCCUCUUCGCUCUCUCUCUCACUUCCUCUCCGAUUCUUUACCUACUUAUUGUCGAAGAAGUUUGAACAACCACCAAACUGCCUUAAAUGGAAGUAAAGGCAAUGGAAGUGAAGAAAAUUAUAGCAAUAUGCCAAUCUGGUGGGGAGUUUGUGACCAAUAAAGAGGGGUCUUUGUCGUACUCCGGGGGUGAGGCCUUUGCUAUAGACAUUGAUCAGCACACUCAGUUAAAUGAUUUCAAGUCGGAAAUAGCAGAAAUGUUUGAUUUUAGCGUUGAUAAUAUGAUUAUCAAGUAUUUUCUUCCUGGUAAUAAGAAGACCCUCAUCACAAUUUCCAAAGACAAGGAUUUGCAGCGCAUGGUGAAUUUUCUGGGUGAUUCUGUCACUGUUGACGUGUUUAUCAUGCCAGAGGAGGCUGCAGCCCGAAAUGUAUCCAAUAUGCCUGCUAGUAGGUCGAGCAGGACGACUGUGUCGGAAGCAGUGAUUCCUGUAGUUGCCCCUCUUAAUAUUCGAGUUGAUACAGCUAAUGGCAAUAAUUGUAUGGAUAUCGACAUGGUCAGUGGAACCCCUAUAAGCUACCUUGCUGGUUCAGAUGAUGACAAGCAUCGUAAAGCUGCACAACAGUGGGAAAACACCAUCACUGGUGUGGACCAAAGAUUUAACAGUUUCAGUGAAUUCCGAGAAGCUCUGCAUAAAUACUCAAUUGCACAUGGGUUUGCUUAUAGAUAUAAGAAAAAUGACAGCCAUCGUGUCACUGUCAAAUGCAAAUCCCAAGGUUGUCCUUGGAGAAUAUAUGCAUCAAGGUUGUCUACGACCCAGUUGAUUUGUAUCAAGAAAAUGAACACACAACAUACUUGUGAAGGAGCUGCUGUAAAAGCUGGGUAUCGCGCAACUAGGGGUUGGGUGGGAAGUAUCAUAAAGGAGAAGUUGAAAGUUGCCCCAAACUACAAGCCAAAGGAUAUUGCAGAUGACAUCAAACGAGAGUAUGGGAUUCAAUUAAAUUAUUCUCAGGCAUGGCGUGCAAAAGAGAUUGCAAGGGAGCAGCUUCAAGGUUCUUAUAAAGAGGCAUAUAAUCUGUUGCCCUUUUUCUGUGAGAAGAUAAAGGAAACUAACCCGGGGAGUGUCGCCACAUUUACCACUAAGGAUGACUCAAGCUUUCAUCGUCUCUUUGUAUCAUUCCAUGCCUCGAUGUCUGGUUUUCAGCAAGGAUGUCGCCCUCUCCUUUUCCUUGAUAGCACUCCACUCAAUUCGAAAUACCAAGGGGUACUAUUAUCUGCAACAGCUGUCGAUGGCGAUGAUGGUAUCUUUCCAAUAGCCUUCGCUGUUGUAGACGCUGAGACUGAGGAAAACUGGCAUUGGUUUGUAAUGGAACUUAAAUCUGCAGUGUCAACAUCUCAGCAGAUUACAUUUGUUGCUGAUUUUCAGAAUGGCCUAAAGGAGUCAUUGGCUGAGAUAUUUGAUAAAUGCUACCACAGCUAUUGCUUACGCCAUCUUGCUGAGAAACUUAAUAAGGACUUGAAGGGGCAAUUUUCUCAUGAGGCAAGGCGAUUUAUGAUUAAUGAUUUAUAUGCGGCUGCUUAUGCACCCAAACUUGAUGGUUUUAAUCGUAGUGUUGAGAACAUUAAAGGCAUUUCUCCUGAAGCUUACAAUUGGGUCAUACAAAGUGAGCCGGAGCACUGGGCAAAUGCAUUCUUUGGAGGAGCAAGGUAUAACCUAAUGACAUCAAACUUUGGACAACAAUUCUACAGUUGGGUAUCGGAAGCACAUGAGUUGCCAAUAACACAGAUGAUUGAUGCAUUGCGAGGUAAGAUGAUGGAAUCUAUCUAUAUGCGUAGAGUGGAUUCCAGUCAAAGGACAACAAAGUUAACACCAUCUAAAGAAGAAAGGCUACAAAAGGAAACUUCAUUAGCUCAAUCACUUCAAGUGUUACACUUACAUGGUAACACAUUUGAGGUUCGUGGAGAAUCUGUGGAUGUAGUUGAUAUUGAUCAUUGGGAUUGUAGCUGCAAGGAAUGGCAAUUAACUGGUUUGCCUUGCUGCCAUGCUAUUGCUGUCUUUGAAUGCAUUGGUAGGAGCCCAUAUGAUUAUUGCUCCAGAUACUUCACAGUUGAAAAUUACUGUUUAACAUAUGCGGAGUCCAUUCACCCAGUUCCAAAUGUAGACAGACCAAUUGAGGGUGAAUCAGCUGAUGCAAUAGUUACUGUAACCCCUCCACCUACUAAACGACCACCAGGCCGGCCAAAGAUGAAGCAGGCUGAAUCCAUAGACAUUAUUAAACGCCAGCUCCAGUGUAGCAAGUGCAAAGGCCUAGGCCACAAUAAGAAGACAUGCAAAGAUUCCUAGUAGACAUGUUAGGACAUUGUUAAUUAGUAUUUUUGGUUUGCAAGCAGAUUCAGCAUCAAAACCAUGGAGCAUUUUGUUCGGCACCAUUUUAAAGAGAGACGGCAAAGACAUGACGCUUGGUAUCUUCUUUGUCCAAUGAGUGCUCUCACAACACACCUUACAUCGGUUUCGGACAACAGCAGUUUUCCCUACACCCAAACCUUUAUAUAGAUCAGCAUAUGUUGUAGACAUGUGAAGGCUUCAUGGUGAUUCUAUUGACCUCUAUAUUUUUUGCUUUUAACGUCAGGGCAAAGUGCUGUUUCCACCUGCAUAUCAAAUGGUGUUUUACACUUUGCAUCCAAAACUACCAAAACGAACAUAUUACACGUUCAGAGUGCUAAAACAUUGCGAUGUGCACCAUUCAUUAAGAUUCAUCCAUCUUAACGACCAUAAUUGGACAAGUUUGCUACUUGCUAUUAUCAGUGUUAGUAGUUAGAGGGUAAAACGUGUCAGUUUUGAUAGUUAUGUAAGGUAUAAAACAUCCUCUAGUACGUGGGUGGAAACUGUUUUUUCCUCGCUAUAUUCUUAUAAAAUUGCACUGUUGUU